ensembl:lncRNA
AUGGUGACAGGUGUGUGUAAUGAUGGUGACAGGUGUGUGUAAUGAUGGUGACAGGUGUGUGUAACGAUGGUGACAGGUGUGUGUAACGAUGGUGACAGGUGUGUGUAACGAUGGUGACAGGUGUGUGUAAUGAUGGUGACAGGUGUGUGUAACGAUGGUGACAGGUGUGUGUAAUGAUAGUGACAGGUGUGUGUAACGAUGGUGACAGAUGUGUGUAACGAUGGUGACAGGUGUGUGUAACGAUGGUGACAGGUGUGUGUAAUGAUGGUGACAGGUGUGUGUAACGAUGGUGACAGGUAUGUGUAACGAUAGUGACAGGUGUGUGUAACGAUGGUGAUAGGUGUGUGUAACGAUGGUGACAGGUGUGUGUAAUGAUGGUGACAGGUGUGUGUAACGAUGGUGACAGGUGUGUGUAAUGAUGGUGACAGGUGUGUGUAAUGAUGGUGACAGGUGUGUGUGAUGAUGGUGACAGGUGUGUGUAAUGAUGGUGACAGGUGUGUGUAAUGAUGGUGACAGGUGUGUGUAACGAUGGUGACAGGUGUGUGUAAUGAUGGUGACAGGUGUGUGUAAUGAUGGUGACAGGUGUGUGUAAUGAUGGUGACAGGUG